rnacentral:rRNA from 1 species
AUUGAACGCUGGCGGCAGGCUUAACACAUGCAAGUCGAGCGAGCGGCGGACGGGUGAGUAAUGUCUGGGAAACUGCCUGAUGGAGGGGGUAAAAUACUGGAACCGGUAGCUAAUACCGCAUACAAUCAGAUGAGCCCAGAUGGGAUUAGCUAGUAGGUGGGGUAAUGGCUCACCAAGUCGACGCUCCCGAGCUGGCCUGAGAGGAUGACCAGCCACACUGGAACUGAGACACGGACCAGACGCCUACGGGAGGCAGCCUUGGCGAAUAUUGCACAAUGGGCGCAAGCCUGAUGCAGUCAUGCCGCGUGUGUGAAGAAGGCCAUCGGGUUGUAAAGCACUUUCAGCGAGGAGGCGUCACUCGAAGAAGAAGCACCGGCUAACUCCGUGCCAGCAGCCGCGGUAAUAC